ACUAUGUAACAGCUACACACACCAUAUCAUCUGUGUUCAGCUAAUUAUAUCUCUCCUUUUGAAAAAAAUAUAAAAAAUAUAUUUUUUUUUAAAUUUUUGAUGAUUUAAAUAGAUGAAUUACAGAAGAGCGAUUUGAUUAGUUGAAAAUUAUAUGACAGCAGUUGAAGUUUAGGAAGAAAUUUACUAUGUAGCAGCUAUACCAUAUUAUUUAUAUUCAGCUAAUCAUAUCUCUCCUUUUGAAAAAAAUAUUAAAAAAAAUAUUAUUUUAAAAUUUUUGAUGAUUUAAAUAGAUGAAUUACAGAAGAGCGAUUUGAUUAGUUGAAAAUUAUAUGACAGCAGUUGAAGUUUAGAAAGAAAUUUACUAUGUAGCAGCUAUACCAUAUUAUUUAUAUUCAGCCAAUCAUAUCUUUUCUUUUGAAAAAAAGAAAAAAUAUAUUUUAAAAAAAUUUAUGAUGAUUUAAAUAGGUGGAUUACGGAAGAGCGAUUUGAUUAGUUGAAAAUUAUAUAACAGCAGUUGAAGUUUAGAAAGAAAUUUACUAUGUAGCAGCUAUACCAUAUUAUUUAUAUUCAGCCAAUCAUAUAUUUUUUUAAAAAAAAUAUAAAAAAAUAUUUUUUAAAAAAUUUAUGAUGAUUUAAAUAGGUGAAUUACAGAAGAGCGAUUUUAUUAGUUGAAAAUUAUAUGAAAGCAGUUGAUUGAAAACGCAACAU
rnacentral:lncRNA from 1 species